GGGGCUAGCCUCAAGGUGAGAGAUACGGAGGUAGAGCACUGAAUGUCCUAGGGGGUAUUGCACCUACCGAAGACUAUCAAACUCCGAAUGCCGUCAUCUUAUACUUGGGAGUCAGACUGUGGGUGAUAAGAUUCAUAGUCGAAAGGGCAACAGCCCAGAUCGUCAGCUAAGGUCCCUAAAUGUAAGUUAAGUGGUAAAGGAUGUGGGAUUGCACAGACAACCAGGAUGUUGGCUUAGAAGCAGCCACUCAUUCAAAGAGUGCGUAAUAGCUCACUGGUCGAGUGAUCCUGCGCCGAAGAUUUCCGGGGCUAAAACUUACUACCGAAGCUACGGCAUCAGUAAUGAUGGGUAGGGGAGCUUCCCAUACGGGUUGAAGCAUGACCGUAAGGACAUGUGGACAGUAUGGGAGUGAGAAUGUUGGCAUGAGUAGCGAGAUGUGGGUGAGAAUCCCACAGGCCGUAAACCCAAGGUUUCCAGGGGAAGGUUCGUCCGCCCUGGGUUAGUCGGGACCUAAGCUGAGGCCGAAAGGCGUAGGUGAUGGACAACAGGUUGAUAUUCCUGUACUACCGAUAACCGUUUGAGAGAAGGGAUGACACAGUAGGAUAAGCUAAGCACACUGUUGGUUAUGUGUGCCCAAGCAUUGAGGCAGUCAAAGUAGGCAAACCCGCUUUGAUAAUGCUGGGGAUGUGAUGGGGAGCGAAAUUUAGUAGCGAAGUAGCUGAUUUCACACUGUCAAGAAAAGUCUCUAUCGAGGUUAAAGGUACCCGUACCGCAAACCGACACAGGUGGGUGAGGAGAGUAUCCUAAGGCCAGCGAGAGAACUGUUGUUAAGGAACUCGGCAAAAUGACCCCGUAACUUAGGGAUAAGGGGUGCCACCAUCAGGUGGCCGCAGAGAAUAGGCCCAAGCGACUGUUUACCAAAAACAUAGGUUUCUGCUAAGUCGCAAGACGAUGUAUAGGAGCUGACGCCUGCCCGGUGCUGGAAGGUUAAGGGGAUCUGUUAGAGCAAUCGAAGCAGUGAACUUAAGCCCCAGUAAACGGCGGCCGUAACUAUAACGGUCCUAAGGUAGCGAAAUUCCUUGUCGGGUAAGUUCCGACCCGCACGAAAGGCGUAACGAUUUGGGCACUGUCUCAACAACAGACUCGGUGAAAUUGUAAUUCCGGUGAAGAUGCCGGAUACCUGCGACAGGACGGAAAGACCCCAUGGAGCUUUACUGUAGCUUGACAUUGGGUCUUGGUACUACAUGUACAGGAUAGGUGGGAGGCUUUGAAACCAGGACGCCAGUUUUGGCGGAGCCAUCCUUGGGAUACCACCCUUGUAGUACUGGGACUCUAACCAUAGGCCAUGAAUCUGGUCUUGGGACACUGUCAGGUGGGCAGUUUGACUGGGGCGGUCGCCUCCCAAAAGGUAACGGAGGCGCUCAAAGGUUCUCUCAGUACGGUCGGAAAUCGUACGUAGAGUGUAAAGGCAAAAGAGAGCUUGAUUGCAAGACAUACAGGUCGAGCAAGGAUGAAAAUCGGACUUAGUGAUCCGGUGGUUCUGCGUGGAAGGGCCAUCGCUCAACGGAUAAAAGCUACCCUGGGGAUAACAGGCUUAUCUCCCCCAAGAGUCCACAUCGACGGGGAGGUUUGGCACCUCGAUGUCGGCUCAUCACAUCCUGGGGCUGUAGUAGGUCCCAAGGGUUGGGCUGUUCGCCCAUUAAAGUGGUACGCGAGCUGGGUUCAGAACGUCGUGAGACAGUUCGGUCCCUAUCCGUCGCAGGCGUAGGAAAUUUGAGAAGACCUGUCCUUAGUACGAGAGGACCGGGAUGGACGUACCUCUGGUGUACCAGUUGUUCUGCCAAGGGCAUGGCUGGGUAGCUAUGUACGGAAUGGAUAAGCGCUGAAAGCAUCUAAGCGCGAAGCCAACUUCAAGAUAAGAUUUCCCACCGCAAGGGUAAGACCCCAGAAAGACUAUCUGGUUGAUAGGUCGAAGGUGUAAGUGCAGCAAUGUAUUUAGCUUAUCGAUACUAAUAGGUCGAGGACUUGACCAA
rnacentral:rRNA from 1 species